CUAAUUAACCCAAAAUAUUUUAACCUCAGAAAACCCUCUUCAAUCUCUCUCUCUUCCCCUCCACACCCAGCACGCAUUUGGGAAAACCAAAACCCUAAAUUACAUUUCUUAAUUUGUUCGAAUUCGAUCUUCAAAUUUCGUUGAUUUUACCAGUAAAUUUAAGAGUUGAGGAAACCCUUCAAAUUUCUCCUAGAUCGGAAAAAUUUCUCAGUUUUUGAAGUGUGGGAAAAAUGUCGGAGUGUUGUUGUUGGAGAUCCGGUUUACAUCCCCACCGUCCUUGAGUACCUAGCUUGUUUCGAUCUGAGGCGUCUGAUCUGGUUCUAGAUUUUGAUGAAGGAAGCUCAAAAGGCGGAUACAAGGGGUGUGUGUUAUUUGAGCAGGAUCCCCUUAAAGUAUCUACUGAUAGGUGCCUUGUGGUUACUUGUCAUUACUUUCAAGGACUGAGGAAACGAAAGUAGCUGGUGCAGAUUAAUGUGGCACUUUCAAGACUGAGAUUCCAACUCUAGCUAAUUAGCAGCUGGUGUUGCUGCUAGUGUUUCAGUUGGUGUUGCUGCUGGUGCUGGUCUAGCUGUGUUUUGUGCUGGCAGGUCUAUGCUACUGAGGUUGGCACAGUUCUUCUCAGUUGUGCGUUCUUUUAUGAUAUAUUUUGGGUCUUUGCUUCCAAAUGGUUCUUCCAUGAGAGUGUUAUGAUCAUGUACUUUCCUCAAGUUCCUGCCACUUAUUCUCAAGCGGUGAUUGACGAGACACGGGAUACUUUGGUUACAUAUUUUUCAAGCAAAAACAAGUUUUCAAUGAUCAGAUUGGUGAAGAUGAAGAAAAUGAUAUUUUGGACGUUGAUCAUGAAUGAUCUUUGUAGCUAGUGCAUAUUGACACUUUCUAACAAAUGUUUUGCGAAUCUCAUAGCAAGUUAAUACAUUUGAAGUAUUCUUUUGGAUUUAAGCUUGUGAUUGGAGUUUGGAGAAUGUUAUAUAUUACAGUAGUUUUAUUUAA